rnacentral:rRNA from 1 species
UACGUAGGGUGCAAGCGUUAAUCGGAAUACUGGGCGUAAAGCGUGCGCAGGCGGUUUUGUAAGUCUGACGUGAAAUCCCCGGGCUCAACCUGGGAAUUGCGUUGGAGACUGCAAGGCUGGAGUCUGGCAGAGGGGGGUAGAAUUCCACGUGUAGCAGUGAAAUGCGUAGAGAUGUGGAGGAACACCGAUGGCGAAGGCAGCCCCCUGGGUCAAGACUGACGCUCAUGCA